rnacentral:rRNA from 1 species
UACGUAGGGUGCGAGCGUUAAUCGGAAUUACUGGGCGUAAAGCGUGCGCAGGCGGUUUUGUAAGCCGGAUGUGAAAUCCCCGGGCUUAACCUGGGAAUGGCAUUCGGGACUGCAAGGCUGGAGUGCGGCAGAGGAGACUGGAAUUCCUGGUGUAGCAGUGAAAUGCGUAGAUAUCAGGAGGAACACCGAUGGCGAAGGCAGGUCUCUGGGCUGACACUGACGCUCAUGCACGAAAGCUAGGGGAGCAAACAGG